AUUCGCAAUGCUCUAGUAUAAGCAUUAUACAGCGAAACUGCGAAUGGCUCAUUAUAUAAGUUAUCGUUUAUUUGAUAGUACCUUACUACUUGGAUAACCGUGGUAAUUCUAGAGCUAAUACAUGCUAAAAAUCCCGACUUCGGAAGGGAUGUAUUUAUUAGAUUAAAAACCAAUGCCCUUCGGGGCUCACUGGUGAUUCAUGAUAACUCCUCGAAUCGCAUGGCCUUGUGCCGGCGAUGGUUCAUUCAAAUUUCUUCCCUAUCAACUUUCGAUGUUUGGGUAUUGGCCAAACAUGGUUGCAACGGGUAACGGAGGGUUAGGGCUCGACCCCGGAGAAGGAGCCUGAGAAACGGCUACUACAUCCAAGGAAGGCAGCAGGCGCGCAAAUUACCCAAUCCCGACACGGGGAGGUAGUGACAAUAAAUACUGAUACAGGGCUCUUUUGGGUCUUGUAAUUGGAAUGAGUACAAUUUAAAUCCCUUAACGAGGAACAAUUGGAGGGCAAGUCUGGUGCCAGCAGCCGCGGUAAUUCCAGCUCCAAUAGCGUAUAUUAAAGUUGUUGUGGUUAAAAAGCUCGUAGUUGAACCUUGGGCCUGGCUGGGCGGGCCGCCUCACCGCGUGUACUGGUCCGGCCGGGGCUUUCCCUCUGUGGGAACCCCUGCCCUUCACUGGGUGUGGGCGGGGAAAAAGACUUUUUUCUGGGAAACAUUUAAAGUGCUCCCAGGCGGGCCUAUGACUCAAUACAUUAGACAGGGAUAAUAGAAUAGGACCGUGUGGGUCUAUUUUUGUUUGGUUUCUAAAAACCGCCCACAUGAUUAUAAAGGAACGGUCAAGGGGGGUGCACUCUUCUAUUUUGCAUAAGGUGUAAUUCCCUUGGCUAUUUGAAUUUAUGAAGCAAACAAGCGGGGGCCAUUGUACUAAAGGAAGGGGAUGUUUUAAACCAAAAUCUCAAGAUAUAAAUGGAACCAAGGCACCUAAACGAAUUAAUUGACAUUGGCUAUAGGCUACACAUAACAACAUGGCCAGUAAGGAGGACAAAAAGGGAAAUGGAUUUAGCUACAUUGGAAUAUAGGACCCCGGUAUCCCCGAACCAAAUACCAGAAGGGGCAUGUGGGAAGGGCUUUGGGUGCAACAAAUUAGGAGGAAAUC
rnacentral:rRNA from 1 species